rnacentral:pre_miRNA from 1 species
AAUAAGAUCAUUUUUCAAUUUUUUGAUACAAUGUUUUGACUCUUCGUCUUAUUUGAAAUUUUUUUGUGAUUAAUAUUUUUAUUCUUACUAGAUGAUAAAACAUGAACAGUACUUUAUGCGUGACUAAUUUUUUUUUUAUCUUUUUUAGAAAUUUUUUAAACAAGACGAAAUGAUCAAACGUUGGACACAGAAAAAC